rnacentral:snoRNA from 1 species
AUAGUGCAUAAAUGUAAUCAUUGGGUUUUCACACUCAUGUGUGAGACGCACCUCUCUCAACCUUGUUACAACUUCAGCACAUAGAUA